GCCGGGAUAGCUCAGUU
rnacentral:tRNA from 20 species